rnacentral:rRNA from 1 species
ACACGACUACAUUAGAUACCCGUGUAGUCCCAGCCGUAAACUAUGCUCGCUAGGUGUCAGGGACGGUGCGACCGUUUCUGGUGCCGCAGGGAAGCCGUGAAGCGAGCCACCUGGGAAGUACGGUCGCAAGGCUGAAACUUAAAGGAAUUGGCGGGGAGCACAACAACGGGUGGAGCUUGCGGUUUAAUUGGAUUCAACGCCGGAAAUCUUACCGGGACCGACAGCAACAUGAAGGCCAAGCUGAAGACUUUGCCGGAUUAGCUG